GUGGCAAGAAUGUUCUAGAAGUGUGCUUGGCAGGCCAAACAUCAGAUCUCUUUAAGCUCUCUGCCCUCUUAUCUCAAGGAACCCUUUCAGUUCCCAUUUACCUGCUUCCACAAACGGCAAGAACCAAGGGAGCCCUCCACCCCACCAAACCAGAAAUAGGCAGGUGAAGAAAACUGACAAAGAAACGGGGAAGAGCCGUGAGCCCAAAAGUGAUGAAGCAACAGUUUUUCUAAUCGAACGAACUGAGGCCUUCAUCCUGCAAACCCCAAGUGUGAGUGCUCCCCAUUAUCAACCUCAAUCUGGACAUGGGCAUGAGGUUCCAGUGAGGAAUGAUUUAAUGUUGAGGAGGAGGAGAGAAGGAAGAAGAUUAUUAAACAAGAAAAAAUAACUGGCCAGGAGACCAUCUGAGCAAAGCUACACAACAAAGCAAUCAAGACCAGACACGGAAGCAGGAACAGCAGCAACAAAGGGGAAAGGCUGAGAAAUGUCACGUGGGAAAGAAAGAACAAAUGUACCCCAAAGAGAAGCAGAAGAAGCAGCUGAAGCCAAGGCCAAAUUACCAGCAGUCAAGCUGAAGGCAUCAGAAGCCAGUACAGGGCCAAAGACGGAAACAGCAAAAGAGGCAAGGUCUGACGCAAUAGGCAGAGCCGCAGAGAAGGUGGCAAGAUCACAAAUUGCAUUGGUUUUGCAAUCGGCAAAAGCAGAGCUGAGGCACAGAAGAAGAAAUCCAAGCUUGAGACAAAAGGAUACUCUUCUGAACAACUUGGAGGAAAAUGGAAUAAAUGAGACUGAAAUGCAAUGAAGGCAGAAUGUGAUCAGUAGAUCCAUGGUAUGUAGUGGGAACAAGUGGACCUUCUUUGCGUAAUAGCAAAUCACACCCAUUAAUGGUGUGUCUUCCUUGGGAAACAUCAAUAAACAUUGAUCAAUAAA